GGGCCCGUAGCUCAGUGGUCAGAGCGCGCGGCUCAUAACCGCUUGGUCGCAGGUUCGAUCCCUGCCGGGCCCA
rnacentral:tRNA from 1 species